ensembl:misc_RNA Metazoa_SRP Metazoan signal recognition particle RNA
GCUGGGUGUGGUGGCGCAUGCCUGUAAUCUCAGCUACUCAGGAGGCUGAGACAGGAGAAUCGCUUGAACCUGGGAGGUAGAGGUUGCAGUGAGCUGAGAUCGUGCCACUGCACUCCAGCCUGGGUGAGAGAGCGAGACUCUGUCUCAA